UACGUAGGGUGCAAGCGUUAUUCGGAAUUACUGGGCGUAAAGCGUGCGCAGGCGGUUUUGUAAGUCUGUCGUGAAAGCCCCGGGCUCAACCUGGGAAUUGCGAUGGAGACUGCAAGGCUUGAAUCUGGCAGAGGGGGGUAGAAUUCCACGUGUAGCAGUGAAAUGCGUAGAGAUGGGGAGGAACACCGAUGGCGAAGGCAGCCCACUGGGUCACGAUUGACGCUCAUGCACGAAAGCGUGGGGAGCAAACAGG
rnacentral:rRNA from 1 species